rnacentral:lncRNA from 1 species
GUCUUUUUAGGGCACACCCACUGCACAUGGAGGUUCCCAGGCUAGCGGUUGAAUCGGAGCUACAGCUGCCAGCCUACACCACAGCCACAGCAACGUGACAUCCGAGCCACGUCUGUGACCUAUACCACAGCUCACAGCAAUGCCGGAUCCUUAACCCACUGAGCAAGGCCAGGCAUCGAACCCACAACCUCAUGGUUCCUAGUCAGAUUCAUUUCCCCUGUGCCACGACGGGAACUACAGAGUUUACCAUCUUAAUUUGAGUUUUGGCAGAAAGUAAAGAUGGACAAGUUUAUACACAAUAGCUGAUGAUUCAGUAUUUCUUUCUUGGUCUCUAUGAAUUACUAUUCCUUCUGAGAAUUUUGCAGGUAAUCAAAAGUUAUUUAUUAACAAUUUAAAUUGGUCCAAAGUUAUAAAAUCAUUCAGGUUGAGACGACAGAGAUGAACGUAAUCACUAUCGAUCUUAGACUUUUUCAGAGGUGAAAUUUUAAAUUUUUACCAAGAGAGUAAGUGGAAUAAUCAAGUCAAAUGAUUUGCAGCAUUGUCUAAAGUUCACAAGAGCAAAUAGUUUUUAAAAAUACAAAUGUAUGUCCUGUGUUAAUUAGAUUAAAUGCAUAUGUUCAAAUUUAGGUUUGCUUCCCAGAAAUUGAGACAGCAAAGUGAAUCUGAAGAUGGGGAACAAAUCCCUUUCUUCCCCAAAAAUCAAGUUAAGGUGAUAGAAAUCAAAUUAGUGUCUGGAGUCGGGAGGACUGAUUGCAAAAAGGCAAGAGGGAACUUUCUGAGACAGGAAAAAUGUUCUAUGUAUCAAUUGGGGUGGUGGUUACACUGUGUAUGCAUCCCUCAAAACUCAUCAAGCUGAUACUUUAAAACGCUUCAAUUUGUAUGAUUUAAAGUACACCUCAAUAAAGUUGAUUGAAAACCAUAAAAAGAUCGAAUGUUUCAGCUGUGCAGUUUGUAAGCUUUAGCAACAGAAAACCAAAUAGGUCAUAUGUCAAGGACAGCACAAUCAAAUGUGCUAUCCAGACUCACAGACGCAGAGAAUAGACUUGCAGCUGCCAAGGGAGUGGCGGGGACUGGGAAUUUGGAGUUAGCAGAUGCAAACUAUUCCAUAGAAUGGAUAAGCAAUGGGGUCCUGCUGUAUAGCACAGGGAACUGUAUCCAAUCACUGAUGUAAGAUAAUAUGAGGAAAAGAAUAUAUAUAUAUUCAUAUAUGUAUAUGAAUGAUUGGGUCACUUUGCUGUACAGCAGAAAUUGACAGAACAUUGUAAAUCAACUAUACCUUAAUUUAAAAAAAUUGUAAAGUAUAAAUAUACUGUUUCCUUUUUUGCCCCCUAAUUUAGUAGAUCAGUUUUUUCUUUUCUUUUCUUUUUGUCUUUUGUCUUUUUAGGACUGCACCCGUGGAGUAUGGAAGUUCCCAGGCUAGGGGUCUAAUCGGAGCUACAGAUGCUGGCCUACACCACAGCCACAGCCAUGCCAUAUCUGGGCCAAGUCUGCAACCUACACCACAGCUCACGGCAAUGCCAGAUCCUUAACACACUUAAGGAGGCCAGGGAUUGAACCUGCAACCUCGUGGUUCCUUUCCACUGCGCCACAAGGGGAACUCCCAGAUCAGUUUUUUUCAAAUUCAAAUUAUUUAAACAAAAACAUCCGAGACACAGUUUAGAAGGAUUACAGGGUACAAGGCUCCCAGACCAGUUCCUGACACUUUCUCCUCAGCCCAGGGAUUCUGUCAACUUGAAGUUAGAGCGAGCAAGAAAACAAGCUCUAACUUCAUCAAGAGUCCUUCCCACAUCUACUAUUUACAGAAUAAGCACUGACUUCGGAUAUUUACAAAUGUUCAUCCAAUGCCUUUUGUUCAUCUUGCUUCUACCAUGGUCUUCAAAAGUAAAUUUUAAAUUCAAGAGCUUAAACUUGGAGUUCCCGUCGUGGCGCAGUGAGUGGUUAAAAAAUCCGACUAGGAACCAGUGAGGCUGCGGGUUCAAUCCCUACCCUUGCUCAGUGGUUAAGGAUCCGACGUUGCCGUGAGCUGUGGUGUAGGUUGCAGACGCGGCUUGGAUCCUGCGUUGCUUGGUGUAGGCCAUCGGUUACAGCUCCAAUUCAACCUCUAGCCUGGGCACCUCCAUAUGCCACGGGUGUGGCCCUAAGAAGACAAAAAAAGAAAAAAAAAAAAGAAAGAAAAAAAAUCUAUGGACACAGAAAAAGGCAGUUCUAAGGGGAAAGUUUAUAGCAAUCUCAAGAAACAAGAAAAAGCUCAAAUAAGCAAUCUACUCUUAAGCCUAAAGGAAGUAGAAAAAGAAUAAAACCCAAAGUUAGCAAAAGAAAGGAAAUAAUAAAGAUCAGAACAGAAAUAAUUGAAAUAGACUUAAAAAUAGAAAAGAUUAGUAGUUCCCAGUUGUGUCCCAGGGGGUAACAAACCUGACUAGUACCCAUGAAGAUACCGGUUUGAUCCUAGGCCUUGCCAGUGUUGCCAUGAGCUGUGGUGUGUUGUAGAUGCAGCCCAGAUCCAUGUUGCUGUGGCUGUGGCGCAGGCUGGCAGCUAUUGCUCCCAUUUGACCCCUAGCCUGGGAACUUCUAUAUGCCGCCAGUGAGUCCCUAAAAAGGGAAAAAAAAAAAAAAAAAAAAAAAAAGAGAGAGAGAGAGAGAGAGAAAGAAAAGAAAGACAAAACAAGACAAGGAGCUCGCUUGUGGCACAGUGGGUUAAGGAUCCUGCAUUGUCACUGCGGUGGUGCAGGUUCAAUCCCUGGCCCAGGAACUUCCAUAUGCCAUGGGCAUGGCCAAUAAAGAAAGACUUAUAAAACUACAAAUUGGUUCUUUGAAAACAUAAACAAAACUGACAAAUAUCUAGCCAGACUAAAAAAAAAAAAAAAAAAAGAGGGGGGCCAAAUAAAUAAGAAAAGUGGAGAAAUUACAACUGACACCACAACAGAAAUAUAAAAGUACGCACGGAAACACUAUGAACAAUUAUAUGCCAAUAAAUUAGACAACAGAAGAAACUGAUAAAUUCUUAGAAACAUACAAUCUUCCAAGACUGAAUCCUGAGGAAACAGAAAAUCUGAAUAGAUCAAUGACUAAUAAUGAAGUUGAUUAUGUAAUUUAAAAAAAAAAAACUCCCAAAAAGCACAAGUCCAGGUCCAUUCUAAGUUCCUCUUUCACGCUGUGGCAUCUGGGAACCCGAUAACGCUACUAGAAAUCCCCCUGCCACUCCUUUCAGGGGCCCUGCCGCAGAGGCGAGCAGGUGAACGGAGAACUGAGGUGAGAAGCCAAAGGACGUGGAACUACUACCCUUGAAUAGGAAAAGGCCAUGCAGUUAACACUCUCCUUCCUCAGCAACCUUCUGCCCCCGCCCUCUUCCAACCCUGCCUUCAUUCUGCCUUCUUUUGUUCCUCUCUCUCCUUCGCCCACCUUGCUCACCUUUCCUCCCUGCAGUUGAAUAACUCUCCGGCUGGCAGCCGUUCAGGGUCUAUGAGGAGCGGGUAGUUUACAAGAAGCCGGGCCCAGAGUCCUGGAGAGGUGCGGUCAGGUGGCGAGGCUCGGGGACUCUCGGUCCGGGUUUCGGUCCGCCGCCCGCAUCCCCGCCUGGGCACCAGGCACCUCACAGGUGGGAGGGCCGAGCUCGCGGGCUGAACCUGGCGGAAGGGAAGCGGAGCCCCGGAAUCAGCGCAGACAAGCUGGGAGAAUCCUGGGGGAGGCGACUGAGGGCUGGACAUCAGGUCACCGCGGAACCCUCAGAGGGACUUUUAGGAACCCGCUACCCUGGCGGAGCUCAGAGAAGAACCCAGCAGCUCUUAUAGCCGGAAGGUGGUGCC